rnacentral:rRNA from 1 species
UACGUAGGGGGCUAGCGUUGUCCGGAAUCAUUGGGCGUAAAGAGCGUGUAGGCGGCCCGGUAAGUCCGCUGUGAAAGUCGGGGGCUCAACCCUCGAAUGCCGGUGGAUACUGUCGGGCUAGAGUGCGGAAGAGGCGAGUGGAAUUCCUGGUGUAGCGGUGAAAUGCGCAGAUAUCAGGAGGAACCCCAAUUGCGAAGGCAGCACGCUGGGACGUUACUGACGCUGAGACGCGAAAGCGUGGGGAGCAAACAGG